UACGUAGGUGGCGAGCGUUAUCCGGAUUUACUGGGCGUAAAGGGAGCGCAGGCGGCGCGCCAAGUCUGAUGUGAAACCCCGGGGCUCAACCCCGGGCAUGCAUUGGAAACUGGCGGGCUGGAGUGCCGGAGAGGUAAGCGGAAUUCCUAGUGUAGCGGUGAAAUGCGUAGAUAUUAGGAGGAACACCAGUGGCGAAGGCGGCUUACUGGACGGCAACUGACGCUGAGGCUCGAAAGCGUGGGGAGCAAACAGG
rnacentral:rRNA from 1 species